rnacentral:rRNA from 1 species
AUUGAACGCUGGCGGCAUGCCUUACACAUGCAAGUCGAACGGUAACAGGUUAAGCUGACGAGUGGCGAACGGGUGAGUAAUGUAUCGGAACGUGCCCAGUCGUGGGGGAUAACUGCUCGAAAGAGCAGCUAAUACCGCCUACGACCUGAGGGUGAAAGCGGGGGAUCGCAAGACCUCGCGCGAUUUGAGCGGCCGAUAUCAGAUUAGGUAGUUGGUGGGGUAAAAGCCCACCAAGCCGACGAUCUGUAGCUGGUCUGAGAGGACGACCAGCCACACUGGGACUGAGACACGGCCAAGACUCCUACGGGAGGCAGCAGUGGGGAAUUUUGGACAAUGGGCGCAAGCCUGAUCCAGCCAUGCCGCGUGCGGGAAGAAGGCCUUCGGGUUGUAAACCGCUUUUGUCAGGGAAGAAAAGGUUCUGGUUAAUACCUGGGACUCAUGACGGUACCUGAAGAAUAAGCACCGGCUAACUACGUGCCAGCAGCCGCAGUAACAC